CCUCUACCCGCUGAACUCAGCAUAUCAGUAGGCGGAGGAAAAGACACUAUCUACGGAUUCUCCCUAGUAACUGCGAGUGAAGCGGGAAGAGCUCAAAUUUAAAAUCUGACGUGCCUCUGGUCGUCCGAGUUGUAGUCUGGAGAAGUGUCUUCUGCGUUGGACCGUGUAUAAGUCUCUUGGAACAGGGCGUCAUAGAGGGUGAGAAUCCCGUCUUUGACACGGACUACCAAUGUUUUGUGAUACACUCUCAAAGAGUCGAGUUGUUUGGGAAUGCAGCUCAAAAUGGGUGGUAAAUUCCAUCUAAAGCUAAAUAUAGGCGAGAGACCGAUAGCGAACAAGUACCGUGAGGGAAAGAUGAAAAGCACUUUGGAAAGAGAGUUAAACAGUACGUGAAAUUGCUGAAAGGGAAACGCUUGAAGUCAGUCAUGUCUGCCAGGACUCAGCCAUGCUUCUGCUUGGUGCACUUUCUGGUUUGACGGGCCAACAUCAAUUUUGACCGUUGGAGAAAGGCUUUGGGAAUGUGGCACCUUCGGGUGUGUUAUAGCCCUUUGUUGUAUACGACGGUUGGGAUUGAGGACUGCAGCACGCCUUUAUGGCCGGGGUUUGCCCACGUACGUGCUUAGGAUGUUGGCAUAAUGGCUUUAAGCGACCCGUCUUGAAACACGGACCAAGGAGUCUAACAUGCCUGCGAGUGUUUGGGUGGAAAACCCAUCCGCGUAAUGAAAGUGAUAGCUGAGAUCCUCUCAUCAGGAGCAUCAGCGCCUGGACUUGAUCUACGGAGACGGUUCUACGGUAGAGCAUGUAUGUUGGGACCCGAAAGAUGGUGAACUAUGCCUGAAUAGGGUGAAGCCAGAGGAAACUCUGGUGGAGGCUCGUAGCGAUUCUGACGUGCAAAUCGAUCGUCAAAUUUGGGUAUAGGGGCGAAAGACUAAUCGAACCAUCAAGUGGCG
rnacentral:rRNA from 1 species